rnacentral:ncRNA from 2 species
AAUUCGCGUGGUUUUUUUGGUGCCAGCAUUGCAUUUUGCGAUGCGGGUGAAACGGGAAACAGGGACCGAAACACUAAUCGGCAACCUGUGCUGCCCCCGCAACGGUAAGCAAGUGCGGGUGCGUUCUAGGAGAUCCUCCCCGGAUCUCAAUCCACUGCGGCCUCUGGCUGCGGGAAGGUGAGCGCAUCAAGACUUGUCAGCCCGGAGACCGGCCAGAAAAGCGAUUGAAGC